GAUGAACGCUGGCGGCGUGCCUAAUACAUGCAAGUCGAGCGAACGGACGAGAAGCUUGCUUCUCUGAUGUUAGCGGCGGACGGGUGAGUAACACGUGGAUAAACUACCUAUAAGACUGGGAUAACUUCGGGAAACCGUAGCUAAUCCCGGAUAAUAUUUUGAACCGCAUGGUUCAAUAGUGAAAGACGGUCUUGCUGUCACUUAUAGAUGGAUCCGCGCUGCAUUAGCUAGUUGGUAAGGUAACGGCUUACCAAGGCAACGAUGCAUAGCCGACCUGCGAGGGUGAUCGGCCACACGGGAACUGAGACACGGUCCAGACUCCUACGGGAGGCAGCAGUAGGGAAUCUUCCGCAAUGGGCGAAAGCCUGACGGAGCAGCGCCGCGUGAGUGAUGAAGGUCUUCGGAUCGUAAAACUCUGUUAUUAGGGAAGAACAUAUGUGUAAGUAACUGUGCACAUCUUGACGGUACCUAAUCAGAAAGCCACGGCUAAGUACGUG
rnacentral:rRNA from 1 species